rnacentral:snoRNA from 1 species
CCACAGGCAUUAAAAGCCAAAGGGACUGGGAUGCGAAAGAAAAAUAUCCCUGCGCUUUCUGUCUGUCUUUGUGGCAGCCCAGAUUGAAUAAGGGACUACAUCU